GACGGGCAAAGAUAGGCAGAGAAGCGGGACGACUUUCCAAGGAAGGGUCCCUGUCUCCUCCUGCAGUAUUUGUUUUCCCUACAUGAGCCUCAGUGAGAAUCUGGACUUUCGCUGCAGUCAAGUAGAUCCAGGAAGAGGAAUUUCCGCGGUUGCCCAGCAGGAGCCCAGGGGUAUCUAUAAAGAGUGGAAUGUCAGCUGGUGACCAGUAAGUACCAGGACUGCCUGCCCUUUGGAAAAAAUUCUGGGAGACAG